CGCCUGUUUAACAAAAACAUCGCUCAAAGCAUGCUUUUUGAGUACCGCCUGCCCAGUGAUCAAUUUAACGGCCGCAGUAUACUGACUGUGCAAAGGUAGCAUAAUAACUUGUCUUUUAAUUGAAGGCUGGCAUGAAUGGCGUCACGUAGUAAUUCCUGUUUCUUUAUAAAUAUUAAACUUAAUCUUUAAGUUAAAAAGCUUAAAUUUACACGCAGGACGAGAAGACCCCAUAGAUCUUUAUAUCAAAAAUUUAUUUAUAUAGAGGCUAUAAAUUUGAAUUGUUAUCGAUAUUUUAUUGGGGUGAUAAGAAGUCUUAAACACUUCUUGACUAAACAAUUAUAGUAGGCUAUAUGAUCCGGUUGGCGAUUAAAAAAAACAAGUUACCUUGGGGAUAACAGCGUAAUCUACCCUUAGAGUCCUUAUCAAAAGGUAGGGUUGCGACCUCGAUGUUGGAUUAAGAUACCUUUAGUGAGUAGUAAUACUAGAAGGGGGUCUGUUCGACCUUUAAAUUCUUACAUGAUCUGAGUUCAAACCGGAGCUCC
rnacentral:rRNA from 1 species